GAAAGGCAGACUCACCCUUAAUCUGGUUGGACACAAUCUAAUCAGCUUCGAGCACAGCCAGAAGAAAAGCCCGCAGAAGGAUGUGAAAAGACUGGAUUGGUUUAGUAUUCUGGCCUACAUCUUUCUCCUGUGCUGAUGCUUCCUGCCCUCUGACAUCAAACUCCAAGUUCUUCAACGGUGGGACACUGACUGUCUUUCUUGUUCCUCAGCUUGCAGACGGCCUAUUGUGGGAACUCACCUUUUGAUCAUCAUCAUAAAGGCAGGCUCCAGAACCCAAAGGAAGGCUUGGCACAUAGGAGAUGCUAAACACAUCUUUUUCAAAUGAAUGCAGUGACUUGACUUUAGGCACUAUGUUAGGACCUCAGGACUCAGGGAUAGAUAAAGUCAGUUUUCGGAAGAUGACAGUUUGGUGGCGGAGAUUUCUACAGGAAGAAAUCAUCAGCAUUAUAUGGAGAGUGCUCUCAUGGAGGCGCUGGAGCAGAAUAGGGGAGUCAAGAAGAAAAGCAAUUAACGAAUAAAGGAAAAAGUACCAACAGUGAAGGGAAAAAAAAUUCUUCUGAAGGCUAAAGAAGAGAGAAUAAUUGAUGGUUCCAUUUUAGCUUAAUGUUAUUUCUGGAUCUCUUUUAUAAUGUGUUAUUUACUGCAUAGUUUAUACUUGACAGAAAAUAAACAGCAUUUGCAAUAUAAUGUCUUUUGCUCU
rnacentral:lncRNA from 13 species